GAGUGCCAUAUACCUCAUCUGCUCCUCCAUUCUCACACACCGAUCUGUAUAGGAUCGCUACACUACUAGAUAUUGAGGUUAUCAUAUCAGCCUGCCCGGUCAGCAACAGGUGACUGAUGCCCGAUGAGAAGGUGAACGUGACAUAUACCCUCUUCAGCUGCAAGAAAGGAACCACGAGACAGGUGACUGAUGCCCGGUGAGAAGGUGAACGUGACAUAUACCCUCGUCAGCUGCAAGAAAGGAACCACGAGACAGGUAAUUAAU